CUUGGCCCAAACUCACUGAAAAAUCUGUUUCUUUUCCUAUCUUUAAGAAUAUUUUGCUGCUGUUUGUGCUUAUCUGGACCAGUUCUUUGCUCUGGAAGAAAAGAAAAAAACAGAAACCACCUCAAGAAGGAGACUUUAGCACCCUAAAACCUGGUGACAUAGCCAGCCAAGAGAGGAAGCCCCAGGAUGACCAACAGGAAACAUCUUGAACUGCACCCUACAGAUUCCACCAACUUUGCCACUAGGCUGUAUCCUUGAUCAUUGGGAAAGGUUUGAUCCUGC
rnacentral:lncRNA from 1 species